rnacentral:rRNA from 1 species
AAGGGUGCGCAGGCGGAGUGUUAAGUCAGUGGUGAAAGCCUGCAGCUCAACUGCAGAACUGCCAUUGAUACUGACAUUCUUGAGUAUUGUUGAGGUAGGCGGAAUGUGUCAUGUAGCGGUGAAAUGCUUAGAUAUGACACAGAACACCGAUCGCGAAGGCAGCUUACCAAGCAAUAACUGACGCUCAUGCACGAAAGCGUGGGGAUCAAACAGGAUUAGAUACCCUGGUAGUCCACGCCGUAAACGAUGAUCACUCGAUGUUGGCGAUACACAGUCAGCGUCUUAGGGAAACUAUUAAGUGAUCCACCUGGGGAGUACGGUCGCAAGAUUGAAACUCAAAGGAAUUGACGGGGGCCCGCACAAGCGGAGGAGCAUGUGGUUUAAUUCGAUGAUACGCGAGGAACCUUACCUGGGCUCGAACGUGGAAUGACAGUCGCGGAAACGUGAUCUUCUUCGGACAUUCUACGAGGUGCUGCAUGGUUGUCGUCAGCUCGUGCCGUGAGGUGUCGGGUUAAGUCCCAUAACGAGCGCAACCCCUAUCUUUAGUUGCCAUCAGGUAAUGCUGGGGACUCUAAAGAAACUGCCUACGCAAGUAGUGAGGAAGGCGGGGAUGACGUCAAAUCAGCACGGCCCUUACGUC